AAUUGAAGUCGAUGAAUGUAUUAGGCUUUGGCCAAUAAAACAAUACAACUUUCAACAAUGGAUCUCUUGGUUCUCGCAUCGAUGAAGAACGCAGCGAAUUGCGAUAUGUAAUGUGAAUUGCAGAAUUCAGUGAAUCAUCGAAUCUUUGAACGCACCUUGCGCCCUUUGGUAUUCCGAAGGGCAUGCCUGUUUGAGUGUCAUUAAAUUCUCAACUUCAACACUUUUUUGUAUUGAAGCUUGGAUGUUGGAGGGUCUUGCGGGCAUAUAUUAAUGUCAGCUCCUCUUAAAUGCAUUAGCAGAACCUGUGUUCGGCUCUGGUUUGAUAAUCCUAUCUAUGCCAUUGCUGAAAUGUCAUUGUUCAGCUUCUAAUGGUCCAUUGGACUGUCUCUUCAGAGGCAUAUAUUUUGACUUGACCUCA
rnacentral:rRNA from 1 species